rnacentral:rRNA from 1 species
GACGUAGGGCGCGAGCGUUGUCCGGAUUUAUUGGGCGUAAAGAGCUCGUAGGCGGUUCAUUGCGUCAAUCGUGAAAUCCUGUGGCUCAACUACAGGCUUGCGGUUGAUACGGGUGGGCUGGAGUUCGGUAGGGGAGACUGGAAUUUACGGUGUAGCAGUGAAAUGCGUAGAUAUCGUAAGGAAGACCAGUGGCGAAGGCGAGUCUCUGGACAGUUACUGACGCUGAGGCACGAAGGCCAGGGGAGCAAACGGG